CACGUAGUUAGCCGUGGCUUUCUGGUUAGGUACCGUCAAGGUACCAGCAGUUACUCUGGUACUUGUUCUUCCCUAACAACAGAACUUUACGACCCGAAAGCCUUCUUCGUUCACGCGGCGUUGCUCCGUCAGACUUUCGUCCAUUGCGGAAGAUUCCCUACUGCUGCCUCCCGUAGGAGUCUGGGCCGUGUCUCAGUCCCAGUGUGGCCGAUCACCCUCUCAGGUCGGCUACGCAUCGUCGCCUUGGUGGGCCAUUACCCCGAUCAACUAGCUAAUGCGCCGCGGGCCCAUCUGUAAGUGAUAGCCGAAACCAUCUUUCCAUCUUCUCUCAUGCAAGAGAAGAACGUAUCCGGUAUUAGCUCCGGUUUCCCGAAGUUAUCCCAGUCUUACAGGCAGGUUGCCCACGUGUUACUCACCCGUCCGCCGCUGACUUUUAAAACGCAAGCUUUUAAAACGUCCGCUCGACUUGCAUGUAUUAGGCACGCCGCCAGCGUCGUCCUCGUAGUCCACGGAUCGAACUACG
rnacentral:rRNA from 1 species